AACAAAAACACUCCUAAGACCUUUACUCCUGAAUGUGAAAAUCAGAAGGACCCUUUGGUCAACACUGUUGUUGUUUAUGAUUGUGAUGUUUGUUCGUUUGCGAGCCCCAACAUGCAUUCUGUCUUGGUUCAUUAUCAGAAGAAACACCCCGAAGAAAAGGCUUCCUACUUUAGGAUCCAGAAAACUAUGCGAAUGGUGUCUGUGGACAGGGGCUCUGCCCUUUCUCAAUUAUCAUUUGAGCCUUUUGGUCACUUAGAAGAGGUGCCAAAGAUCAAGGAGAGGAAAGUGGUGGGCUACAAAUGUAAAUUCUGUGUGGAAGUGCACCCAACGCUCCGAGCCAUCUGCAAUCACCUCCGAAAGCACGUCCAGUAUGGCAAUGUCCCAGCUGUGUCAGCUGCUGUGAAGGGGCUGCGUUCUCAUGA
rnacentral:sRNA from 1 species